GUCCUCGGGGCCGGCGCGGAGAUGGGCUGAGUGCGCAAGCGCAGGAUUCGGGAGAGCUUCGGGACACGGUCCGACUGGAAACAGGCUCCCCACCAGCCCUGGGCCGCAAGUCGCUUGGGCUUGCCUGGAAGUCUUACGGUGAAAUGCGGCUCCAGGGGUUUCCAACCUCGGCGCUGCUCACCCGGCACUGCAGUUGUAGGGGGAAGAGAACAGAGUUAAGAAGGUGUAUUUUCCGUUUCAGUUCAAUGCUUGACUAGGAAAACCACAUAGCCUUGACUGGUGGGCUCAAGGCUCUACUGGAAGCUGGUUCUGAUUGUAACUGUCUCAGCUUAAGAGGCGAGGAAAUGAGAACAAAUAAGAAGUACGUUUUUCACCUCACUUCAGUGAAAAGAGCACAGGGGAUAGUGAUUCCCCCUCUGAAGUAAGGAGGCCCAACAUCAGGCCAGCUCCAAAUUGAGGUCAUGGUUAGUUUCAUCCACUGCAGUUUUCCACUUGAAGCUCAAAUGCAGUGCAUUGGAUCGCAGACCAAGGAUAGACUGGCACAUUACCUGUACUCAGCAAAUGUAUGACAAAGGAGUGAAGAGGAGAAGCCACAGAGGAACACCGGGUCUUCCACACUUCUUUUUAAUCCUACUCUUUCCUUUUUGUGAUGAUGACUUAGAGAUUGAAUCAUUCUGUAUUAAUGUAGUAUACUUGGAUAAGAAUAAAUUAAGUGGAAGAAUUGGACUUUCAUAGUAUGGCUGCUGAAGAAUCAACACAUAUGGUUGGAAGAUGGAAUUUCCAUUGAUUCCCCAGCCUGAGAGAGUGCAGGCAGCACCAUAAUCUCCUCUACUUUUGCUACAGACUCAGAAAAUCAGUCUCCACAUGGUUGCAGUGAAGUGAGCAGUCUUCUGAGCACAGUUACAGGUGUGCAGGACAGUUAUGUCCAGGACUAACCGACCAACACACUGGAAUGGACCCUGAUGCUGGGAAAGACUGAAGGCAGAAGGAGACGAGGGCGACAGAGGAUGAGAUGGUUGGAUGGCAUCACUGACUCAGUGGACAUGAACUUGGGCAAACUCCAGGAGAUAGUGAAGGACAGGGAAGCUGGCGUGUUGCAGUCCAUGGGGUUGCAAAGAGUCAGAUAUGAAUUGACAACUGAACAAGAACGACAAUCCAGGAUAAAAAUGGUUACUUCCCACCCAGUUAAAAUACCCUUUCUAUGGAAGGGUAAGAAUCCCAAAAAGUCUGUGGGGAUGGCUUUUGGAGUAAAGAAAUGAGUAAAAUUGUCUCUAGAUUUUCCCAAUGUGUUGUGAUUCAAUUUAUUAGAUAAAUGAGUUGUUUGAGGAUUUUCAUUUAAAUUGACAAAUUUUGCUCCAAGCAUAAAUUUCCAUAGGGACAUGGUCUUCAUUCUUUACCAAUUUCAGGUUGCCACUAAGGUCUAGAGGAACUAAAGGUAUUUUAGCCUCAGAGUGACAUAUGAGCUGCUUUCAAAUAUUUGUAGACUGUUAUGUGAAAGUAGUAUUACACUUUUCAUCCAAAGCCUUAUGGGUUAAACAAAAUCUUAGUAAUCAUAGUUGUCCAUUAGACUGCUUUGGAGAUUGUGACCCAGUCCUACCCUAGGGAUGUUCAGUAGACGUAUGGAUGAUCAUUUGGCAUGAAAGUCAUGUGUCAGAGAUUUCUUGGGCCAGAUAAUAUGAAAGCACUCUCAAAACCUAAAAGUUCUAAGAAUCUGUAAUCAACAUUAGAAAAAAAAUUAUUAAAAAAAAUUUUGGCAUGAAAUCUAAGGAAGGGCUGUUUGCUGGAGGCAAAAUGUAUGUCUAUGUUUUUUAUACUUUUAAGCAUUAAAAUUGUUGCAUUAUCUUAUCUUUUUUUCAGAUAGCUCACUGGAAAUAAAUAUGAAAAUAAAUAUGGAAAUUUCCUAAGUGGCUGAAUACUAAUGAGUUUGUAAAUAAAUUUAGAAUUCUC